rnacentral:rRNA from 1 species
GUGAAAGCCCGGGGCUCAACCUCGGAACCGCAUUUGAAACUGGCAGGCUAGAGUCUUGUAGAGGGGGGUAGAAUUUCAGGUGUAGCGGUGAAAUGCGUAGAGAUCUGAAGGAAUACCAGUGGCGAAGGCGGCCCCCUGGACAAAGACUGACGCUCAGAUGCGAAAGCGUGGGUAGCAAACAGGAUUAGAUACCCUGGUAGUCCACGCCGUAAACGCUGUCUACUUGGAGGUUGAGGUUUAAGACUUUGGCUUUCGGCGCUAACGCAUUAAGUAGACCGCCUGGGGAGUACGGCCGCAAGGUUAAAACUCAAAUGAAUUGACGGGGGCCCGCACAAGCGGCGGAGCAUGUGGUUUAAUUCGAUGCAACGCGAAGAACCUUACCUACUCUUGACAUCCAGAGAACUUUCCAGAGAUGGAUUGGUGCCUUCGGGAACUCUGAGACAGGUGCUGCAUGGCUGUCGUCAGCUCGUGUUGUGAAAUGUUGGGUUAAGUCCCGCAACGAGCGCAACCCUUAUCCUUGUUUGCCAGCACGUAAUGGUGGGAACUCCAGGGAGACUGCCGGUGAUAAACCGGAGGAAGGUGGGGGCGACGUCAAGUCAUCAUGGCCCUUACGAGUAGGGCUACACACGUGCUACAAUGGCAGAUACAGAGGGCAGCGAAGCUGCGAAGUGGAGCGAAUCCCUUAAAGUUUGUCGUAGUCCGGAUUGGAG